CAGCACCUCAAGUGGUCAGGAUGAUUAUUGGGCCUAAAGCAUCCGUAGCCGGCUCUGUAAGUUUUCGGUUAAAUCUGUACGCUCAACGUACAGGCUGCCGGGAAUACUGCAGAGCUAGGGAGUGGGAGAGGUAGACGGUACUCGGUAGGAAGGGGUAAAAUCCUUUGAUCUAUUGAUGACCACCUGUGGCGAAGGCGGUCUACCAGAAAACGUUCGACGGUGAGGGAUGAAAGCUGGGGGAGCAAACCGGAUUAGAUACCCGAGUAGUCC
rnacentral:rRNA from 1 species